UCUGCGAUCAAUAUUCAGAAAAGGAAAAAAGAUGAAUUCGAUCACACUUUAUCUAACUUAUCUGGUAAGCAAUUAUUGAUAUAAAAGAGUGAGUCUUUCUCCUCCACAAGAAUCACAAUCCAGUCCGAUCAAGCUGCCUUGGCUUCAACCCAGAAAUUAGUUUUACAGCGACCAAACAUGGCCUACAAGAUGUCAUCAGUGCUUUUUAUACUUGUCCUGCUGCUAUCGUUUUCUCUCCUCUCGCCUCCAUCUUCUGCAGCAAGCACUCUUAAAAACAUCAAUGAAGUGAUAGGUAGAAAUUUAAUCGAAGCAAAACCACCUCCAAAUGAUGAUCAUCCAGAUGGAGGGGAGAAGCGUCGUAAAUAAUGGUUGUUAUCAUUAUUUUUGUUUUUCGCAAUUCUGCUGGGUUGUUUAGGAUUUAAUCCAAUUUUUUUAUAUAAUAUAAUACUCUUUGAUAUUAUAUCCCAUAAUUUGAACAUUAUGUAUUUUAGAUAAUCUUAGUACGUUAAUAUUUUAUGUAAUAUAUAUUUUAAUAUAUUUGUAUAUUAUAUUAUUUUAAA